CCUAGCCAAAGAUGAGUCAUAUUAUCAAAACAGUUAUCCCUGUCAGAACACCGUUGUUGACCAUAUUGAAUUCUGAGCCUUGC
rnacentral:snoRNA from 1 species